CGUAAGAACCCUAACUCUUCCUCACUUUACCGUAAGAACCCUAACUCUUCCUCACUUUACCGUAAGUACCCUAACUCAACCUCACUUUACCAUAAGUACCCUAACUCUACCUCACUUUACCCUAAGCUAACUCUUCCUCACUUUACCAUAACUACCCUAACUCUACCUCACUUUACCAUAGGAACCCUAACUCAACCUCACUUUACCGUAAGAACCCUAACUCUACCUCACUUUACCAUAAGUACCCUAACUCUACCUCACUUUACCGUAAGUACCCUAACUCUUCCCCGCUUUACCAUAACAAGCCUAACUCUAACUCACUUUACCGUAGGAACCCUAACUCUAACUCACUUUACCGUAAGAACCCUAACUCAACCUCACUUUACCAUAAGUACCCUAACUCUACCUCACUUCACCGUAAGUACCCUAACUCUACAUCACUUUACCAUAAGUACCCUAACUCUACCUCACUUUACCGUAAGAACCCUAACUCAACCUCACUUUACCAUAAGUACCCUAACUCUACCUCACUUUACCGUAAGUACCCUAACUCUACCUCACUUUACCGUAAGAACCCUAACUCUACCUCACUUUAGCGUAAGAACCCUAACUCUUUCUCACUUUACCAUAAGAACCCUAACUCUUCCUCACUUUACCGUAAGAACCCUAACUCUUUCUCACUUUACCGUAAGAACCCUAACUCUUCCUCACUUUACCGUAAGUACUCUACCUCACUUUACCGUAAGAACCCUAACUCUUCCUCACUUUACCCUAAGUACUCUAGCUCACUUUACCGUAAGUACUCUAACUCAACCUCACUUUACCGUAAGUACCCUAACUCUACAUCACUUUACCGUAAGUACCCUAACUCUACCUCACUUUACCGUAAGUACCCUAACUCUACCUCACUUUACCGUAAGAACCCUAACUCUACCUCACUUUAGCGUAAGAACCCUAACUCUUUCUCACUUUACCAUAAGAACCCUAACUCUUCCUCACUUUACCGUAAGAACCCUAACUCUUUCUCACUUUACCGUAAGAACCCUAACUCUUCCUCACUUUACCGUAAGUACUCUACCUCACUUUACCGUAAGAACCCUAACUCUUCCUCACUUUACCCUAAGUACUCUAGCUCACUUUACCGUAAGUACUCUAACUCAACCUCACUUUACCGUAAGUACCCUAACUCUACAUCACUUUACCGUAAGUACCCUAACUCUACCUCACUUUACCGUAAGUACCCUAACUCUACCUCACUUUACCGUAAGAACCCUAACUCUACCUCACUUUAGCGUAAGAACCCUAACUCUUUCUCACUUUACCAUAAGAACCCUAACUCUUCCUCACUUUACCGUAAGAACCCUAACUCUUUCUCACUUUACCGUAAGAACCCUAACUCUUCCUCACUUUACCGUAAGUACUCUACCUCACUUUACCGUAAGAACCCUAACUCUUCCUCACUUUACCCUAAGUACUCUAGCUCACUUUACCGUAAGUACUCUAACUCAACCUCACUUUACCGUAAGUACCCUAACUCUACAUCACUUUACCGUAAGUACCCUAACUCUACCUCACUUUACCGUAAGUACCCUAACUCUACCUCACUUUACCGUAAGAACCCUAACUCUACCUCACUUUAGCGUAAGAACCCUAACUCUUUCUCACUUUACCAUAAGAACCCUAACUCUUCCUCACUUUACCGUAAGAACCCUAACUCUUUCUCACUUUACCGUAAGAACCCUAACUCUUCCUCACUUUACCGUAAGUACUCUACCUCACUUUACCGUAAGAACCCUAACUCUUCCUCACUUUACCCUAAGUACUCUAGCUCACUUUACCGUAAGUACUCUAACUCAACCUCACUUUACCGUAAGUACCCUAACUCUACAUCACUUUACCGUAAGUACCCUAACUCUACCUCACUUUACCGUAAGUACCCUAACUCUACCUCACUUUACCGUAAGAACCCUAACUCUACCUCACUUUAGCGUAAGAACCCUAACUCUUUCUCACUUUACCAUAAGAACCCUAACUCUUCCUCACUUUACCGUAAGAACCCUAACUCUUUCUCACUUUACCGUAAGAACCCUAACUCUUCCUCACUUUACCGUAAGUACUCUACCUCACUUUACCGUAAGAACCCUAACUCUUCCUCACUUUACCCUAAGUACUCUAGCUCACUUUACCGUAAGUACUCUAACUCAACCUCACUUUACCGUAAGUACCCUAACUCUACAUCACUUUACCGUAAGUACCCUAACUCUACCUCACUUUACCGUAAGUACCCUAACUCUACCUCACUUUACCGUAAGAACCCUAACUCUACCUCACUUUAGCGUAAGAACCCUAACUCUUUCUCACUUUACCAUAAGAACCCUAACUCUUCCUCACUUUACCGUAAGAACCCUAACUCUUUCUCACUUUACCGUAAGAACCCUAACUCUUCCUCACUUUACCGUAAGUACUCUACCUCACUUUACCGUAAGAACCCUAACUCUUCCUCACUUUACCCUAAGUACUCUAGCUCACUUUACCGUAAGUACUCUAACUCAACCUCACUUUACCGUAAGUACCCUAACUCUACAUCACUUUACCGUAAGUACCCUAACUCUACCUCACUUUACCGUAAGUACCCUAACUCUACCUCACUUUACCGUAAGAACCCUAACUCUACCUCACUUUAGCGUAAGAACCCUAACUCUUUCUCACUUUACCAUAAGAACCCUAACUCUUCCUCACUUUACCGUAAGAACCCUAACUCUUUCUCACUUUACCGUAAGAACCCUAACUCUUCCUCACUUUACCGUAAGUACUCUACCUCACUUUACCGUAAGAACCCUAACUCAACCUCGCUUUACCAUAAGUACCCUAACUCUACCUCACUUUACCAUAAGUACCCUAACUCUACCUCACUUUACCGUAAGUACCCUAACUCUUCCCCAAUUUACCAUAACUACCCUAACUCUACCUCACUUUACCGUAGGAACCCUAACUCUAACUCACUUUACCGUAAGUACCCUAACUCUACCUCACUUUACCGUAAGUACCCUAACUCUACCUCACUUUACCGUAAGUACCCUAACUCUACCUCACUUUACCAUAAGUACUCUAACUCUACCUCACUUUACCGUAAGAACCCUAACUCUAACUCACUUUACCGUAAGAACCCUAACUCAACCUCACUUUACCAUAAGUACCCUAACUCUACCUCACUUUAGCGUAAGUACCCUAACUCUUCCUCACUUUAGCGUAAGAACCCUAACUCUUUCUCACUUUAGUGUAAGAACCCUAACUCUUUCUCACUUUAGCGUAAGAACACUAACUCUUUCUCAAUUUAGCGUAAGAACCCUAACUCUUUCUCACUUUACCGUAAGUACUCUAACUCUACCUCACUUUACCGUAAGAACCUUAACUCAACCUCACUUUACCAUAAGUACCCUAACUGUACCUCACUUUACCGUAAGUACCCUAACUCUACCUCACUUUACCCGAAAGAAUCCUAACUCUACCUCACUUUACCCGUAA
rnacentral:lncRNA from 8 species